rnacentral:rRNA from 1 species
AUUGAACGCUGGCGGCAGGCUUAACACAUGCAAGUCGAGCGGAAACGUUGAUAGCUUGCUAUCAGGCGUCGAGCGGCGGACGGGUGAGUAAUACUUAGGAAUCUACCUAGUAGUGGGGGAUAGCACGGGGAAACUCGUAUUAAUACCGCAUACGACCUACGGGAGAAAGGGGGCAGUUUACUGCUCUCGCUAUUAGAUGAGCCUAAGUCGGAUUAGCUAGAUGGUGGGGUAAAGGCCUACCAUGGCGACGAUCUGUAGCUGGUCUGAGAGGAUGAUCAGCCACACCGGGACUGAGACACGGCCCGGACUCCUACGGGAGGCAGCAGUGGGGAAUAUUGGACAAUGGGGGAAACCCUGAUCCAGCCAUGCCGCGUGUGUGAAGAAGGCCUUUUGGUUGUAAAGCACUUUAAGCAGUGAAGAAGACUCCGUGGUUAAUACCCACGGACGAUGACAUUAGCUGCAGAAUAAGCACCGGCUAACUCUGUGCCAGCAGCCGCGGUAAUACAGAGGGUGCAAGCGUUAAUCGGAAUUACUGGGCGUAAAGGGAGCGUAGGUGGCUCUAUAAGUCAGAUGUGAAAUCCCCGGGCUCAACCUGGGAACUGCAUCUGAAACUGUAGAGCUAGAGUAUGUGAGAGGAAGGUAGAAUUCCAGGUGUAGCGGUGAAAUGCGUAGAGAUCUGGAGGAAUACCGAUGGCGAAGGCAGCCUUCUGGCAUAAUACUGACACUGAGGCUCGAAAGCGUGGGUAGCAAACAGGAUUAGAUACCCUGGUAGUCCACGCCGUAAACGAUGUCUACUAGUCGUUGGGUCCCUUGAGGACUUAGUGACGCAGCUAACGCAAUAAGUAGACCGCCUGGGGAGUACGGCCGCAAGGUUAAAACUCAAAUGAAUUGACGGGGGCCCGCACAAGCGGUGGAGCAUGUGGUUUAAUUCGAUGCAACGCGAAGAACCUUACCUGGUCUUGACAUAUCUAGAAUCCUGCAGAGAUGCGGGAGUGCCUUCGGGAAUUAGAAUACAGGUGCUGCAUGGCUGUCGUCAGCUCGUGUCGUGAGAUGUUGGGUUAAGUCCCGCAACGAGCGCAACCCUUGUCCUUAGUUACCAGCGGGUUAAGCCGGGAACUCUAAGGAUACUGCCAGUGACAAACUGGAGGAAGGCGGGGACGACGUCAAGUCAUCAUGGCCCUUACGACCAGGGCUACACACGUGCUACAAUGGUAGGUACAGAGGGCAGCUACACAGCGAUGUGAUGCGAAUCUCAAAAAGCCUAUCGUAGUCCAGAUUGGAGUCUGCAACUCGACUCCAUGAAGUAGGAAUCGCUAGUAAUCGCGGAUCAGAAUGCCGCGGUGAAUACGUUCCCGGGCCU